rfam:Melipona quadrifasciata isolate 0111107301 unplaced genomic scaffold scaffold86, whole genome shotgun sequence.
AAAACGGCCCUUUUUAGGGCCACAAUUUUUUCUCAACUUGAGAACA